rfam:Candidatus Kaiserbacteria bacterium RIFOXYD1_FTLL_42_15 rifoxyd1_full_scaffold_754, whole genome shotgun sequence.
UUUAAUUAGAGUUUGAUCCUAGCUCAGGAUGAAUGCUGGCGGCGUGGAUGAGGCAUGCAAGUCGAAUGAGUUUAAGCUCAUGGCAGACGAGGUAGGAACACGUAGGUACGUACCCCAAAGUCAGGGAUAAUCCGUCGAAAGGCGGAACAAUACUUGAUGGUCCCAGCACUUUAUUUAGAUUAUAAUAAUAUAGAUAUGUUCUAUGUAUAUGUAAUCAAAAGUAAGAGAACUGAAGAAUUGUAUUAUGGUUUUUCUUCAGAUUUAAAAGCUCGUAUAGAUAGUCAUAACCAAGGCAAAAACAUCGCUAUAAAAAGCAGUGUACCUUGGGAAUUGAUUUAUUAUGAAGCUUUUAAAUCUACAAAAGAUGCACACAAAAGAGAGUUACAAUUGAAAAAAUAUGGUAACGCUCGAACACAUCUGAAAAAUCGAAUACAAAAUAGUCUUUUGUAAUCUAAAUAAAGUGCUGGGUAAAGAUUUAUCGCUUUGGGAACGGCCUGCGGGCUAUCAGCUUGUUGGUAAGGUAACGGCUUACCAAGGCUACGACGGCUAGGGGAGGUGAGAGCCUGACCCCCACCGAUGGAACUGCGACACGGUCCAUACUCCUACGGGAGGCUGCAGUCGAGAAUCUUCCGCAAUGGACGAAAGUCUGACGGAGCGACGCCGCGUGGUGGAUGAAGUCCUUAGGGACGUAAACACCUUUUAUGGAGGAGAAAGUUUAUUGAUGUUACUCCAUGAAUAAGGGGCUCCCAACUCUGUAGAAUGAACGGUUGGGAACAUUGAGAUUGAGCAUCUCAACAAAUUCUGUAUUACAUUGGUGCAGCACGGGCGAGUAAUUACCCGUGAGAAAACUUGGCUAUAUGCUGGAAAUCUUGUGUGGUCUGCGCCCAGUACUUAUUUUUGCGAAAGUAAAAAUAAGUACUGGGUCCCACAAGACAAUCAGCAGGGAAGUCGCCCAGCACUUAUUUAUUCUCUUUAGAAUAAAUAAGUGCUGGGUUGACCCCUCAGAGACUACACGCCGAGCGCCAGCACUUAAUUAAGUGCUGGAUGAUGAUAUAGUCCGAUUCCUAUCGCGAGGUAGGUGAUCUUCAUUAAAUUUAUGUUAGAAGAUCUAUAAAACACAUUGGCCAGCAGGAGCGGUAAUACAGAGGCCCCAAGCAUUAUCCGGAUUUACUGGGCGUAAAGGGUGCGUAGGCGGUGUGAUUAGUCAGGUGUUAAAUCCUGGGGCUUAACCCCAGAAUCGCAUUUGAAACGGUCACACUAGAAGAAGUCAGAGGCAAGCAGAACUCACGGUGUAGGGGUGAAAUCCGUUGAUAUCGUGGGGAAUACCAAAUGCGAAGGCAGCUUGCUGGGACUCUCUUGACGCUGAGGCACGAAAGCGUGGGUAGCGAAGCGGAUUAGAUACCCGCGUAGUCCACGCCCUAAACGUUGUCUGUUGGUUUUAAGGAGUAUCGACCCUCUUUGAGACGAAGCUAACGCGUUAAACAGACCGCCUGGGUAGUACGAUCGCAAGAUUAAAACUCAAAGGAAUAGACGGGGGCUCGCACAAGCGGUGGAUCAUGUGGCUUAAUUCGUAGCUAAGCGAAGAACCUUACCAAGGCUAGAAAUCUUACUGCACGCCUAGGGAAACCUAGGAAUCCUUCGAGGGUGUAAGACAGGUGAUGCAUGGCCGUCGUCAGUUCGUGGCUUGAGCUGUUCCCUUAAGUGGGGAAACGAACGCAACCCUCGUUGCCUGUUAUAAGUGUCAGGCGAGACUGCUCCCUCACGGGAGAGGAAGGUGAGGAUGACGCCAGGUCAGCAUGUCCCUUGAUGCCUUGGGCUGCACACGUGAUACAAUGGGUGGUACAACGGGACGCAAUACGGUAACGUGGAGCAAAUCCUUAUAAAACCAUCCUCAGUUCGGAUUGAGGUCUGCAACUCGACCUCAUGAAGUUGGAAUCGCUAGUAAUCGUGAAUCAGCAACGUCACGGUGAAUACGUUCCCGAGCCUUGUACUCACAAAUAACUGUGCCCGGCAGCUUUACAAAUGCCAAAUCGUUAAAAUCGAUUCCUCU